ACAAUGUAAAGGCACAAACAUAAAUAGGGGCUAAAUGACAUUCUACACUAUUCUUUUCCAUUCAUUUUGUUAAUACAUCAGAAAAUAUCCUCUCUCUGAGACGAUUUUCCCCUUUUCUUACUCAUGAACCCUAAUCGCAAAUCUGCUCAUUUGUGUUGAUUUCUAGUCUUAACAUGGUAUCAGAGCGGGUAAUCUGGUAGUCCCCACCAUUCUACAUCGACUGAUGUUACUCUCGUCCAAUUUCAUCAGGUUUAUCAUCAUCGUUUCAAUUUUCGCUAGGUUUCAAAAUCUGGAGUUUUCAUUGGUUUUUUGUUCAAUUUUCAAAUUGAGGGAGUUUUCUUGACUGUUUGACUAUAUAUUUUGGUUCGAGUUUGCUGGUGAUUAUCAGACUUUUGUUGUUCUUCGCCAAAGUUAGGUUUCCAGUGAUUAUCGGAGUUCUGUUGUUCUUCGCUAGAGCUAGGGUUUCCUUUUUCAAUCUUGACUUUGAGCACUUAUUUGGUUGCGGUUGUUGAGUUUUCUCAAGUCUUUUCGUCUUUAGGUUGCGAAGAAGUGUGGUACAUCCUUCUCUGUUUGUUCUCUUGCAUGAGUUGAUAAUAUUCUUUGCUGUGAAAUUUUUGUUGUUAUACUCUGUUAUCAUGGUUAAUUCUACUCCGAACUCGAGUUCUUCCUCUCCUACGUAUACUCCUGAACCCUCAAAUCCAUUGUUUCUCUUUCCUUCUGGUGUACCAGGGGUGUCUUUGGUUGUCGUGCCUUUUCAGGGACUAGUUUUGGGGGUUGGAGAAGUAUGAUCGUGUCACUGUCUGCUAGAAAUAAAAUAGGUUUUAUCAAAGGGUCUUGCACCAAGCGUGCUGUGGAUUCUCCCCAGCAUAGGCAGUGGGACAGGUGCAAUAAUAUGGUCAUAUCCUGAUUAAUCAAUUCACUCUCUCCAGAUAUAGCUAAAAGUAUACAAUAUUCUGAAACUGCUGAAAGCAUUUGAAAAUAAUUGAUUAAUAGGUAUGGGACUGUUAAUGGAACCAAGGUGUUUGAAAUAAAGAGCGAACUUGCAUCUACUUAUCAAGGGACUCUCGACAUAGCUUCAUAUUUCAACAAACUUAAAAGAAUUUGGGAUGAAUUAGGGGUUAUGUGUACCAGGCAUGCAAAUUCUUGUAUUUGUGCUGCUAAGAAGCUUCUCCAUAAGGAGAAGGAAAAGGACAGGGUUCACCAAUUCCUUAUGGGUCUAAAUAAUAUUUGUGUGGGGGUGAGGAGCAAUAUCUUGAUGAUGCAACCUCUGCCAUCCCUUGAUAUUGUUUACAGUAUUUUGUUGCAAGAUGAAAAACAGAGACAUGUAGUUGCCACUACCCAGUGUAACACAGAGUCAGCCUCUUUAAUGCAAAUUCCAAUAUUAACAAAUUCCAUCCUCAAUUCCCAUCUACAAAAUAAUAUAUACAAAAGGGGAACUUUGUUCCAAGCAACCAAAAAUCCAAUUUUGAUCAGUCUAAGGCUACUUUGUCUUGCAAGUAUUGAAAGAAACCUGGUCAUACAAUUGAAAAAUGCUAUAAAUUACAUGGAUUUCCACCAAAUUUCCAAUACACAAAGGGUAAAAAGUUUGGUACUACUGCAAGUGUUGAGGGGCAGACUUCGAAUAUUCUGCAUUAUAUUCUCUAACUGAUCAAAAUUCUUUGAUUCCUGGUCUCACCAAAGAGCAGUACUCCCAGUUGAUGCAGUUGCUCAGUCAGACUACACUGGGUGAUUUAGGUCCUCAACCUGUUCUAAUGGGAUCUGCCAACUUUGCUGGCUUAUUCUAUGAAGAAACUUCUGGAACUUGGUAGGAUGAACCAAGGAUUAUACAAGUUUCACCUCAAGUAUUCUGUUCCUCCUACAUCACCUGAUAAUUCUAUUUCUGCUUUCAAUAAUGUAGUACAAAAUUUUGAAUUUUCUUUGCAUACAAAUGUUCAAAAUAUGAGCCACAGUUCUGCUUCUACUUUACCUUGUGAUACUGUUCAAAAUGUGCAAAAUGAGAACCCUUGUUAUAUUUCUACUUUACCUUCUUGUACUGUUCAAAAUAAUGUGAAUAAAAAUGAUGCUCUUUGGCAUCAUAGAUUGGGGCAUGUUCCUUUUGUUCAAAUGAACCAUAUAUCUUCUAUCUCUAAUGACUUGUCUGCUAAGAUGUCUUUUAUUAGUCCUAUUUGUCCCUUAGCUAGACAGCCUAGGUUACCAUUCUCAGAUAGUUCUUCCCAUUCCACCUCAUUAUUCCAACUUAUUCAUGUUGACACUUGGGGACCAUACCACAUCCAAACCUAUUCUGGAGUAAAAUAUUUUUUGACAAUAGUUGAUGACUAUAGAAGAGCAACAUGGACACAUUUUACAUUCCAAGAGUUAUUCCUUUACCCUACUUAAAGCAUUCAUAGUCAUGGUCAAGACAUAGUUUCACCUUUAUGUCCAAAAGUUUAGGAGUGAUAAUGCCUUGGAGCUUGGCUCCUCCAAUUUAGCCAUUCAGUUCUUUUUUGAUAAUGGUAUCAUACAUCAAAUAACUUUCCCACACAUACCACAACAUAAUGGUGUGGUAGAAAGGAAACAUAUACAUCUACUAAGAACUUCAAGAGCUUUGUUGUUUUAAUCCAAUCUUCCUACCAAUAUCUGGGGAGAUUGUGUUUUAACAGCAACCUAUCUUAUUAAUAGAUUUUCCUAUAUAGUUUUGUCCAAUAAGACUCAAUUUGAAUUACUUUAUGGGGUUACUCCUUCUUAUUCCAUUUAAAAUCUUUUGGAUGCCUCUGCUAUGCCAGUGUUCCCAAGUGUCAUAGAGAUAAGUUUCAACCUAAAGCAUCUCCUUGUGUGUUCAUUGGCUAUCCCUUUGCUAAAAAGGGGUACAAACUGUACAAUCUCACCACUAAGUCUGUUAUCUACUCUAGGGAUGUCAUUUUUCAUGAAUGUGUUUUUCCUUAUACUUUCUCAUCUUCCUCCUUCAAUGCCUACUUUUUAUGAUUCUAUUCCUGAUCAUGUUAUUGUUUCUUAUGUCCCUCCAGAUGCUCCUCUCCCUACUGCUCAAAUACUUAACACUCCUAAUGGUCCCUAUUUCAGUUGGAUGGUAAUGAUGCAUUUCUACAUAGAGAUCUAGAUGAAGAAGUUUAUAUGAAACUUCCUCAAGGUCUUUCUGUGGCUGCUACUUCUUCUGUUUCUUCUAGGUCUACUACUUUGGUAUGAAAACUGCAAAAGUCUUUUUAUGGCUUGAGACAGGCUUCUAGGCAAUAGUACGCCAAGUUGUCUCAUGCUCUUUACCUGGGGGUAUAAUCACUCAUUGAAUGACUACUCCUUGUUCAUUAAGAAAACUCACUAUUUUACUACCCUUAUAUCUAUUUAUAUAGAUGGCAUCAUUGUAAUUAGGGAUGACUUAUCUGAAAUUUUUACUCUUAAAGCCUUUUUGGAUGACCGAUUCAAAAUUAAGGACCUGGGUUGCUUAACUACUUUUUGGAUAUUGUGUCUGUUAUCUUCAGUCCGGUAUUUUGUUUUUUCUUCAAAAGAGGUUUAUCUCUGAUUUUUCUAUCUGAAUAUAAUUGUGCUAAUGUUUCUGCUAUUGUUAGUCCUUUGGACAUAAAUCACAAGUUGCAUUCUGAUGUUGGGAAGCUACUGCCUCAACCUUAAAGUUAUAGGAGUCUAGUUGGGAAACUAAAUUUUUUGACCCACACAAGACCAUAUUUAUACUUUGUUGUCCAAUAUUUAAGUCAAUUUUUACAACGAUCUAGAGUUCCACAUAUGACUGUCGCUUUACAUGUAUUGAGAUACUUAAAGGCACUUCUGAUUUUGGGGUUUUAACUGAAUAAUUCUGUUGAUUUGUCUUUGUUGGCCAGUUGUGACAGUGAUUGGGCUGCUUGCCCCGAGACUAGGCGAUCAGUUUCUGGUUUUUGUAUUCAAUUGGGUGGGAGUCUCAUCAGUUGGAAUUCUAAAACAUAGCACAUUGUUUCCCUGUCAUCAGCUUAGGCAGAAUACAGAUCCACGAGUAGGGUGGUAGCCGAGUUAGCUUGGUUAGUUCGACUUUUAUCUGAUUUGGGUAUCUCUAUUGUUCUCCAGUUCCCAUUUUGUACGACAACCAGAUUGUUAUUCAUAUCGCCAAGAACCUGGUGUUCCAUGAGCGUACCAAGCACAUCGAAGUCGAUUGCCAUUUCAUUCGCACCAAGUUGGCGAAUGCUCUUAUAUCUCUAGUCCCAUGUUUCUACUAGUUCACAGCUAGCUGACAUUUUUACUAAACUUUUGACAAGCCAGCACCAUCGCACCUUGACUGGCAAGUUGGACAUGUGUCCACCCUCCAACUUGAGGGGGGAUGUUGGAGUUAGCUGAAGAUUGGGCCACGAAGAUUGGGCCAACACAAGAGCUGGAGUAAUUGGGCAUAGCCUGUUAUUUAUUUGUAUCAAAAUUUCUUUUUCUUUUGCUAUUACACUGUAAAGGCCCAAAUAUAAAUAGGGGUUAAGUGACAUUCUAGACUAUUCUUUUCCAUUCAUUUUGUUAAUACAUCAUAUAAUAUCCUCUCUCAGUCGAUUUUCCCCUUUUCUU